UGAACGCUAGCUACAGGCUUAACACAUGCAAGUCGAGGGGCAGCAUGGUCUUAGCUUGCUAAGGCCGAUGGCGACCGGCGCACGGGUGAGUAACACGUAUCCAACCUACCGUCUACUCUUGGACAGCCUUCUGAAAGGAAGAUUAAUACAAGAUGGCAUCAUGAGUCCGCAUGUUCACAUGAUUAAAGGUAUUCCGGUAGACGAUGGGGAUGCGUUCCAUUAGAUAGUAGGCGGGGUAACGGCCCACCUAGUCUUCGAUGGAUAGGGGUUCUGAGAGGAAGGUCCCCCACAUUGGAACUGAGACACGGUCCAAACUCCUACGGGAGGCAGCAGUGAGGAAUAUUGGUCAAUGGGCGAGAGCCUGAACCAGCCAAGUAGCGUGAAGGAUGACUGCCCUAUGGGUUGUAAACUUCUUUUAUAAAGGAAUAAAGUCGGGUAUGGAUACCCGUUUGCAUGUACUUUAUGAAUAAGGAUCGGCUAACUCCGUGCCAGCAGCCGCGGUAAUACGGAGGAUCCGAGCGUUAUCCGGAUUUAUUGGGUUUAAAGGGAGCGUAGAUGGAUGUUUAAGUCAGUUGUGAAAGUUUGCGGCUCAACCGUAAAAUUGCAGUUGAUACUGGAUAUCUUGAGUGCAGUUGAGGCAGGCGGAAUUCGUGGUGUAGCGGUGAAAUGCUUAGAUAUCACGAAGAACUCCGAUUGCGAAGGCAGCCUGCUAAGCUGCAACUGACAUUGAGGCUCGAAAGUGUGGGUAUCAAACAGGAUUAGAUACCCUGGUAGUCCACACGGUAAACGAUGAAUACUCGCUGUUUGCGAUAUACAGCAAGCGGCCAAGCGAAAGCGUUAAGUAUUCCACCUGGGGAGUACGCCGGCAACGGUGAAACUCAAAGGAAUUGACGGGGGCCCGCACAAGCGGAGGAACAUGUGGUUUAAUUCGAUGAUACGCGAGGAACCUUACCCGGGCUUAAAUUGCAGAUGAAUUACGGUGAAAGCCGUAAGCCGCAAGGCAUCUGUGAAGGUGCUGCAUGGUUGUCGUCAGCUCGUGCCGUGAGGUGUCGGCUUAAGUGCCAUAACGAGCGCAACCCUUGUUGUCAGUUACUAACAGGUUCUGCUGAGGACUCUGACAAGACUGCCAUCGUAAGAUGUGAGGAAGGUGGGGAUGACGUCAAAUCAGCACGGCCCUUACGUCCGGGGCUACACACGUGUUACAAUGGGGGGUACAGAGGGCCGCUACCACGCGAGUGGAUGCCAAUCCCCAAAACCUCUCUCAGUUCGGACUGGAGUCUGCAACCCGACUCCACGAAGCUGGAUUCGCUAGUAAUCGCGCAUCAGCCACGGCGCGGUGAAUACGUUCCCGGGCCUUGUACACACCGCCCGUCAAGCCAUGGGAGCCGGGGGUACCUGAAGUGCGUAACCGCGAGGAGCGCCCUAGGGUAAAACUGGUGACUGGGGCUA
rnacentral:rRNA from 1 species